GAGUUUGAUUCUGGCUCAGAUUGAACGCUGGCGGCAUGCUUUACACAUGCAAGUCGAACGGCAGCGGGGAAGUGCUUGCACUUCUGCCGGCGAGUGGCGAACGGGUGAGUAAUGCAUUGGAACGUACCGGGUAAUGGGGGAUAACUUGCCGAAAGGUAAGCUAAUACCGCAUACGCUCUUAGGAGGAAAGCGGGGGAUCGUUUGACCUCGCGUUAUCCGAGCGGCCAAUGUCUGAUUAGCUAGUUGGUGGGGUAAAAGCCUACCAAGGCAACGAUCAGUAGCGGGUCUGAGAGGAUGAUCCGCCACACUGGGACUGAGACACGGCCCAGACUCCUACGGGAGGCAGCAGUGGGGAAUUUUGGACAAUGGGCGCAAGCCUGAUCCAGCCAUGCCGCGUGUCUGAAGAAGGCCUUCGGGUUGUAAAGGACUUUUGUACGGGAAGAAAAAGUUGUGGCUAAUACCCAUGACUGAU
rnacentral:rRNA from 1 species